CUUCUACUCCCUCCGUCCGGAGUUACUUGUCGCAAAAAUGCAUCAAAAUGGAUGUAUCUAAAACUAAAAUACGUCUAGAUAAAUCCAUUUCUCCGGCAAGUAUUUCCGGACAGAGGGAGUAUAUU
rfam:Triticum urartu cultivar G1812 contig674774, whole genome shotgun sequence.